UUUAAUUAUGAGCAGUUAAUCAAAAUAAGGCCCUGGGGAGAAAGGCUCAAGCAGCUGGGAUUAUUGGGUGAGAAAACAGAAGCCUUGGGAAGGUGUGUAAAUGGACGGUGACCGUGAGAAAUACGACAGAGCCUCCGGGCGGAGCAGCGGGCCUGGGCCAGAGCCUCGGGGGUUUUAAGGUAGAUUUAGAAAUGAAUUAUAAAAUGAAUGUAUUGGUUAUGAAUUCAGUUUAAUAUUUUAUUAUUCAUCUUCACAAGAACCCUGCAAAAUGAGUGUUUUUAAUCUCAUAGAGGCUGAGAGAAGCUGAGGAACUUCCUGAGAUCACACAGCGACUCCGUAACACAGUGGAGAGCUUUGUCCAGAUUGCCUGGUUCCAAGGCCUAAGCAUCACCAUCAAGGCAGACACAAGAAUUGAGGCUCGUUGUUGUCUCAGCUGAAUUAUGAAGGUCUGUAAAACAUCAGUGGCUUGAGGUCAAGGGAAAUGUGGCCCAGGCAUGUGGCUGCUGCCAGGAAGCCAUUUCAAUGCCAGUAAGAAGCGUGACAUUAGUUGUUCAGCUAUACAUCCACUCAACAAAGAUCUGCUGAGAGCCUCUCGUCUGUCUCUCAGGUAUUGGGAUUUAGUAGCAAACCAAACAGGGAAGGUUGCUUCCUGAAUGGAGAACUCAUCCUGAAGGGGAGAGUAGACAGAGCAGCAUAGAAAAGCAAUGCAGAUAAUUCUAGCAUGACAGAGAAAAUACAACAAAACAGUGAUCUCUGUGCAGGGGGAGUGGGGAAAGCCUCUCUGAGGGGGUGCCUUAUAAAUGACUGAGUCCUGGCUCACAGGGAGCUCAGGAAAAGCCUGGGACCGUGGUGCACCACCGGCAGAGGCCUGGCGUCAGAAAUGAACCUGAGAUGAGCCACAACAGCAAGAAGAUGGAAGCUCCAGGGCAGCAAAGAAGGGACCACGUGUAGGAAAUGGACAGUGUCCAUUCCUGAUGAAGCUCUGCUUCACCACAGUGCUGAGGAAUUUGGGGAGCCCAUCAGGGGACAUGAAGCAGGAAAGGUCACUCUACAUUUUACAGGGGUCUGUUGGUGAGGAAGAGUGGGAACAGGGAGUCUAGUGUGAGAUUUCUUUCCAGAGGCCAUGCUAAGUUUCCGACGGUUGCUGCAAGGUGGUGAAGGGGCUCAAACACAGAGGGUGCAGAGCAAUUUGUCCUGGUGCUAAAGUGUAAAUAAGAGAGAAACAUCAGACAAAUUCCAACAAAGCCAUGGUCUACGAGAGUCUUCCUCAAAGCUGUCACGGUUAUCAAAGACAUGGGAAGUUUAAGAAACUGUCACAGCCAAGUGGAGCCUAAGAAGGUGACAACUAAAUGGGAUCCUGGAACAGAAAAAGGACACCAGGCUCUGUGAUGCGGCAAGGUGACCGGAGCAGCCACUGGAGAGAAACAAGCCUCAGGCUGCUGGCCACAGAGGAGCUCCAGACCAGGACCGGCCCCAGUGGGUCCUGCCGAGUGAGGUGGCCAUCCCAAAGGGCGAUCAGCAUCCCCAAUGACGUCGCGCUUCCUUGAGCCUUCAAGGAGCAGACAGAAGCACAGAUCAGAAAAAAUACUCACCUCAAUAGCUUAACUUUUUAAAUAAUCGGUUGUACAAUUUAAAAAUUAAAUUAUUUAAUUAAAACAUUCAAAUUUAAAAUUUAAAAAAUGAGAAGUUUUUAAAAAUGAAAACAUCCGUUUAAAAGAGAAACCUCUUGAUUACAGAAGAGUCAGAGGAUGGGACUCAUACUGAACGGGGCCACUUCUGUCUCUGCGGGCGUGUCAGCGAUGCGCACUGGGCCUCCAUCAGGCUCCUGCGCUGAGGGCAGGGGCUGUGGGUCUGACCCACCAGGGGAGCCUGGACACACACUUUCACUUUCUCGGCCACAGAUUUUCAUCUGUAAGUUUUUCUAAGAUUAUGAGCCAAAUAUUUUUGAAAUUACAAAGGAAAUUUAAAAUUAUAAAGGAAACAUAAAGCAAGUCACUUACACCUGCAGCUGUUCUUUAAUAAAACUUCAUAGAAGCACAUUUCAAUCUGGCUGCAAAGGCUGAUCUGUGCAUUCCUACCUUGGUGUAUAGUUUUGCCUUUUCUUGGGACUUUAUAUACAAGUUUAGACUUGCACUGCAUGCAAAUAGUGGGUCAGUGACCAAUUCCAGUCCUGCUUUCCAGGAUAAUGAAAGCUGUCAUUUGUUGAUGGAAGCUGGAAAAAAGAUUAAGUGGGAUUUUCAGGGUCCUUCUGUUCUUUACAUGUGGAAGUUGACUCUAAUUUAAAUGCAUCCUUUGUCCAGGCUUGAAUGUGGCAAUGGAUUAGUAGGGUAAUAUCUGAAUGUUGGGUCUGCAUCUGGGACCUUUGCACUGAGCGAUCUGGAACCAUGUAUAGAAACCACUGCGGUCAUAGUGCACCCCCAUAGGGCAUGCUGUUCUAUGCAUACUAUUACUUCAUCUUUGGAGAUGACUGAAUUUUUUUUCAUGGCAAAGUCAUAAAAAUAGCAGUGGCCUGUGGUGAAGCUGCGGGGCAGGCAGCCAAGGACCUGCCUACAGCGGGCUCCAGGGCCAGAUGGCAUGCGGCUUCCCAGCCCACCCCGUUUCGUUUGUGAGCUUGGAGCACAGCGCCUCACACUCCCCAGGGCUGCUCACCUGCUUCCGGAUCUCAGACAUAGAGGGUCAGAUGCUGAGUUUCCUUUUAUGGACAAGUCAUGAUUAUAAUGGGGCUGAUGGAGCCCAGUGUGAAAACCAAAGGGCAGCCCUUCAGCUUUAGAGAGACUUUCUGUGCACCUGCUAUGUGUGGGCAAUUCACUGCUCAGAUUGGAACGAGCAGCCUGGCCCCUGGUAGCCAGGAGUAGAGUUGGAAGGGGAAGAAGCAAGCGCUCAGGGCAGGUAAAAAGGCAGGGACAAGGGGCCAAGGCAAUGCGUACAAGGCCCACGGGAACCUAACAGGGUCUCUGUGCGUGGCUGACUCCCUGGCCAGCCAGCUCUGACCAGAGUUGCUUUGCUGCUUCUUGAGCAUCAUGUCUGCCUCUCCCUCGGAGCAGCAUCUGUACACUUGCUCAGCUCUGUACAGUGCCCCCCACUUGCUCGAUUCCAGCAGACCUCAUUGGCUUCUGAUCACUGUCAGCACCUUCAGCCAAGAUUGUAAGGAAUGUUCCCCACGUGAGGCAGCUUACAUCCCCCAAUGACCAGAGAGGACCUUGGCCAUGGACUGCCUGACACGUUUGUAAAACUCUGUACUAUGUGCAGACCCCAACUAUCUAACUGUAUCUGCUCAGAAGGAGGAAACAGUGCUAUUACCCAAAAGAAGAGUGUUGCCUUUUGCUUUACCAGAAAAAAUAAAUGUUCCACACAGCUAAGUAAUUUCUCAAAAUGUGCAUAAAACUGGUAAAACCAAUUUCCUUAACAAUUUUGACUGGCUCCAUUUUAAUGCUAAUAUUAAGCCAUCACAUAUCAUUCCAUUAAUAGCUGAGUGAGCUUAUAUGUUGGAAGGAUUAGAUCCUUUCUUAGAACUAGUAAAAAAGUAAAUAUUCAUUUGUUAUUUUUUAUUGAAGUUUUCAUCUGUUAACGAAGCCUACCUUGUGCUAGCAGCAGGAGAAUAGCUAUAGGACUUACUUUGACAAAUUUUUGUUUGAAAUGCUUCACAUGGU